AAGAGGCUGAGUUGAAAGCUAGUGCUUUUGAUUUACCAGUCAAUCUGAGAAUUGACCAACAUGAGAAACUGUACUGGAAGAUAUUUGGAGUAGAGUCACUGUUCCUCCACAUUGAAAGAAACCUGUAAAUAUGGCUCGGCCAUCUGUUUUUGGAUACCUGUUUAUGGAGGUGCUCUGGGAUUGUCCCACCAGGAGGAAGCUCCAAACUGGAUGAACUUUGACUUGUAUCUCCUGGCAAUUGCUUGGGAUACACCUGGAGAAGUAGGAGCAGAUUAUGUUGGGGUUCUUUUGAGAAAUAAGUGACCUCUAUGAUCUGGUUGAAGAUGGAUUGACUAAUGUGACCACAGGGAAAAUGGCAGCUGCACCACACCACAUGGGACAAAACCUUUGAGGACUCCACUUUUUGAGGGAGGAUCUGGUUUCUCACAAUGGUUGUGCUGCUUUUCCUUUGGAGAAAGAUCUGUAGGCCAUCAUGAGAGUAUUGCAAUGAGCUACAGACUGAACCAGCUCAACACCUGCACUAGUGGAAAUCUCUCCACACCUGCUGACCUCGCUAUAACAACUUUUUAUAGAUCCCCUUUGUUCACUACAGGUUUUGUUUUUCUUGGCAACUUGUUCCACAACAAAUGUUUUGGCAGUACAUCUUUCCUUAAGUUGCGGUUUUAAGGCAGUGUAAUGCUUCUCUCCAGUGUGAACCCUUAUGUUUG